UCCAUUUCUUUUACUGUCUAUGGUAAUAACGCUAUUCCGUUGAUUGCUUGAGGUGAGUAAAAGUGGUUGUGUAAAUAUCUUAUAAUAUGAAAUGCGAUGUUCGAUCAUUUAUUUAUCCAUGGUACGUUCAAUUUGAAUAAUUUUUGUUAAUAAUUGUUAUAAAUUGCUCAUUUUAUUGUUCUUUGUGGAUUGUAACAGUACACUCUGUACAUGGCUUUAGUUCAUAGGUUCGAUUUUACAGAGGUAUGGCAUCACAUUUGUCAAGUUAUUUGAACAGACAUGCAUGAUUUUUGUGUGUAUAUUAUUAUUAUUAUUUUUCAGGAUGACAUGAUCAGGAGGUGGUGGUGUUCUGUUCUCCUGGACAGCUUUACUCCGCAAAUAGCUCAUCCACUGAGGGGAGGAACUUCACCAUUCACCAUGUCUUCAGGCAGAGUCCAGCAAAGCAGCUUCCACUGGAAAUCCUCAGGGAAGUUAUUUUGUCGGCUGGUGACUCUGCAUAUUUGACACUUUCUCUGCUUUGCAG